CGCACAUUGCGCCCCUUGGUAUUCCGGGGGGCAUGCCUGUUCGAGCGUCAUUAUCACCUCUCAAGCCUGGCUUGGUGUUGGACCGCGUCCCGCAAGAGACCGGCCCCAAAGACAAUGACGGCGUCUGUGGGACCCUCCGUGCAAUGAGUCGUUACCGGCACGCACGGUUUGGGCACCACUGGACCCGGCCUUUUUAUCAUUUUUAUCAAGGUUGACCUCGGAUCAGGUAGGGAUACCCGCUGAACUUAA
rnacentral:misc_RNA from 1 species